UUGAAACUUCCAUAACGAGUUAUGGCAUGUUCCUCACUUAUCAAUCAAUUAUUCAUUUCGAUUAUAGCAUCUUUCACAAAUCCAUAUUUGUGACUCUUAAUUCGGUCCCGCCGAAUUUGAGUCUCUCAUAAUUUGAUAUAAGAGUUUAGGUUCAAAUCAGAUGUUAAUUAUCCAUUUAAAUUUUGUAAGUUUUUUUUGUAUGUUCUAUUUCAAAAUUUGAAAAAAAAAAGCAAGAAAAAUAAUUAAAAGUUUA
rnacentral:lncRNA from 1 species